AUUGAACGCUGGCGGCGUGCCUAAUACAUGCAAGUCGAACGCAGUGGGGACGGUUGAGUAACACGUGGGUAACCUCCCAUCAGAGGGGAUAACACUUGGAAACAGGUGCUAAACCGAUACUGAUGGAUGAUCCCGGGGUGCAUUAGCUAGUUGGUGAGGUAACGGCUCACCAAGGCCACGAUGCAUAGCCGGCCUGAGAGGGUGAUCGGCCACACUGGGACUGAGACACGGCCCAGACUCCUACGGGAGGCAGCAGUGGGGAAUAUUCGGCAAUGGACGAAAGCCUGACGGAGCAACGCCGCGUGAGUGAAGAAGGUUUUCGGAUCGUAAAGUUCUUUUGUUAGAGAAGCGGUAUCUAACCAGAAAGCAACGGCUAACUACGUGCCAGCAGCCGCGGUAAUAC
rnacentral:rRNA from 1 species